rnacentral:lncRNA from 1 species
CAGACUGGAAUUGCAGGGCUGCUGUUUCCUGUGUGACUCUGAGCCUACAUCCUCCACAGAGAGAUGGGGAUAAGUAGUGAAACCUGCGCAGGCUUGGGGGAAGGUUAACCAGAUGCACAGUCUGCUCAGCACAAGAUUUAGCACGAAGGUUGCUCAAAUGUUUGCUUCCUUGGAUGGACUAGCCCUGGCUGGACGAAGGGAUAACGUGCGAUGAUUGCUGGUCAUCAUCGGAAACCGUCUCAUCUGCAUAUGGACUAUUUGAGAGCCCUCAGAAGCAAGAGCUCACCUGUCUCGUCCAUACCAAAUCCUCAGCAUCUGCACUCCCGAGAAAGUGAAAGUGAAGUCGCUCAGUCGUGUCGGACUCUUUGCGACCCCAUGGACACCAGGCUCCUCCUUCCAUGGGAUUUUCUAGGCAAGAGUACUGGAGUGGGUUGCCUUUUCCUUCUCCAGGGAACUUCCCGACCCUGGGAUCGAACCCAGGUCUCAGGCAUAGACAGACAGUUUACCGUCUGAGCCACCAGGGAAGUCUCUGCACUCCCGAGAAAUACUUGUUAAAUGAAUGAAUGAUUGAAGUCCUUCAUGGUGUCUUCCUAACUGAAAGGAGAGCUUCAUCCUGGGUGAUCCAUGGCAGUUUAUUUACUGCUGUAUGCAGGGCUUUUCCUGGUUGUGGUGGGUCCAUGCAUUGGUGGUCUCCACUGACUUUCAGCCCUCUUCCUCGCAUGUAAAUUCCCGGAUUGGACACAUAACUAACAUGCUUUGGCCAAUGGGAUGGUAGCAGGUGUGCUGGGCACAGAGCCUUGAUAAAAAUUUGAAUGCUGGGGUCUGUCCUCUUAGGACAUUGUCUCUUGAAGUCCUGAGUUACUCUGUAAAGAGGUCUAGCUGCUGUGCUGACAUGGGGCACAAGUGUUCCAGUCAUCCCCUCGUUCCAGCCACCUCAGCUGAAGCCCCAGAAGUCUGAGUGAAGAUGCUCUUUGGAACCUUCCAGCCCGGGAGACACCUGGCAGGGUGGAAGAACCACCCAGCUGAGCCCAGCCCAGAGCGCAGAGCCAGGGGAAGUAUGCAGUCACGUUUUAAACCAGCUUGACAUGCUGACUUCAGCAAGAAGUAGCUGAAAUACCAGUUUACUUUCCAUUUUGAAUGGCUGUGCGAGUCCACAACUCAGAAACCGAGGUGGCAAAGGCUGCAACACGGUUACCUUUGCUUUUGCACUUUGCCCCGCAUCCCACACAAGUUAGUCAAUAGUUCGUUGAGCAGUUUAUUGAACUCUCCAUGCUAAUCUCUGUGCUACUUAAGUGUGUGAUGCAGAGGGUGCUGGUCGUUUUCUCCACAAUCUCAGUGGGUCCAUGCCACGCCUUGUUCCCGACCACACAGCUUGUGCAAGGCUGUGGCAGCUGGGCCUGCAGGGGUGAGCCUCCUGCAGACACUGCAGCCAGGUUACCGCCCUCUCCCUAGGCCUUCCCUCCUGGACCGUUCCCCCCACCACCCCCGCCCAUACCAGCUACUCUCCUAGAGA